rnacentral:tRNA from 1 species
GCCCCCUUGGUGAAACUGGUAGCCACAAGGGACUUAAAAUCCCUCGCUUUCGGGCAUGCCGGUUCGAGUCCGGCAGGGGGCACCA